GCGCCCGUAGCUCAGUUGGAUAGAGCGCCGGCCUCCGGAGCCGGGUGCCAGGGGUUCGAAUCCUCUCGGGCGCG
rnacentral:tRNA from 2 species